rfam:Rhizopus microsporus genome assembly, contig: SCAF1408
GACCAACUAGCAUAAUUGGUAAUGCGAUAGAUUGCAAAUCUUCCAGAUAAGUGUUCAAGUCACUUGUUGGUCU